rnacentral:rRNA from 1 species
UACAGAGGUCCCAAGCGUUGUUCGGAUUCACUGGGCGUAAAGGGUGCGUAGGUGGUGGGGUAAGUCGGAUGUGAAAUCUCCGAGCUCAACUCGGAAAUGGCAUUGGAAACUGCCCUGCUGGAGGGUCGGAGGGGGGACUGGAAUUCUCGGUGUAGCAGUGAAAUGCGUAGAUAUCGAGAGGAACACCAGUGGCGAAGGCGGAUCUCUGGGCCAUUACUGACGCUGAGGAGCGAAAGCAUGGGGAGCGAACAGGA